rnacentral:rRNA from 1 species
UUAUGGCUCAGGAUAAACGCUGGCGGCGCACAUAAGACAUGCAAGUCGAACGAACUUAACCAUUAGUUUACUAGUGGAGCGGUUAGUGGCGGACUGGUGAGUAACACGUAAGCAACCUGCCUAUCAGAGGGGAACAACAGUUAGAAAUGACUGCUAAUACCGCAUAUGCCUUGAGUAUCACAUGGUACAAAAGGGAAAGGAGCAAUCCGCUGAUAGAUGGGCUUGCGUUUGAUUAGAUAGUUGGUGAGGUAACGGCCCACCGAGUCGACGAUCAGUAGCCGGACUGAGAGGUUGAACGGCCACAUUGGGACUGAGAUACGGCCCAGACUCCUACGGGAGGCAGCAGUCGGGAAUAUUGCGCAAUGGAGGAAACUCUGACGCAGUGACGCCGCGUGCAGGAAGAAGGUUUUCGGAUUGUAAACUGCUUUAGACAGGGAAGAAACAAGACAGUACCUGUAGAAUAAGCUCCGGCCAACUACGUGCCAGCAGCCGCGGUAAUACGUAGGGAGCAAGCGUUAUCCGGAUUUAUUGGGUGUAAAGGGUGCGUAGACGGGAAAUUAAGUUAGUUUGUGAAAUCCCUCGGCUUAACUGAGGAACUGCAACUAAAACUGGUUUUCUUGA